GCCACCAUGGCCGAGUGGUAAAGCUCGCGACUUUGAUUCGUCAGGUCGUGGGUUCGCGGCCCACUAUGAUCUGAGGCU